GAUGAACGCUGGCGGUAUGCUUAACACAUGCAAGUCGAACGGACUCUUCGUAUUUAGUGGCUGACGGGUGAGUAACGCGUUAGAAUCUUGCUUUGGGUUCGGGACAACCACUGUAAACGUUGGCUAAUACCGGAUGUUCCCUGAGGUAAAAGAGAAAUUGCCUGAAGAUGAGCUCGCGUCUGUUUAGCUAGUUGGUGUGUUAAAGGCUCACCAAGGCAGCGAUCAGUAGCUGGUGUGAGAGGAUGACCAGCCACACUGGGACUGAGACACGGCCGAGAAUAAUAGGGGAGGAAGCAGUGGGGAAUAAUACGAAAAGGGCGAAAGACUGAAGGAGCAAUAACGCGUGAGGGAAGAAGGAUCUUGGGUUGUAAAACUGUUUUCUUAGGGAAGAACAAAAUGACGGUACCUAAGGAAUAAGCAUCGGCUAACUCCGUG
rnacentral:rRNA from 1 species